AUUGUGACGCCUGCCAGCCGCAGGCUGGGUCCCCGAGGCGGGCGGCAUUUAGGCUCGGUCUCCACAGCCAUGGCCGCGACGCAGGAGCUGCUGCUGCAGUUGCAGAAGGAUAACCGAGAUGGUCGCCAGCGGAAGCAGGAGCUAGAGAAGCUGAUGCGCGGGCUCGAGGCCGAGAGCGAGAGCCUCAACCAGCGCCUGCAGGACCUGAGCGAGCGGGAGCGGAGCCUGCUGCGGAGGCGAAGCCAGGCAGCGCAGCCUCUGCAAGGGGAGGCGCGCGAGGCGGCGCGGGAGCGCGCGGAGCGGGUGCGCAGAAGACUGGAGGAGGCGGAGCGCCACAAGGAGUACUUGGUGAGGAAGAGUCCUGGAAUGGGGCUGGACCCAGGGUGGGGUGGGGCAGGGCGGGCGGAAGGGGGCAGGAUCCGGGGGUGGGGUGAGGUAGGACCGGCGGAGAGGUCGGCACCGCCCCAGGACCCCGUCCGCAGGAGCAGCACAGCAGGCAGCUGCAGGAGCAGUGGGAGGAGCUGUCGAGUCAGAAGCCCGGUAAACCCCGCCCUUACAAGCCCCGCCCCUAGCUCUUCUACUACGGAGGGGAACUGCAGAGCCAGAAGAGCACGGAGCAGCAACUCGCAGCCCAAUUGGUGACGCUGCAGAAUGAACUGGAGCUGGCGGAGACCAAAUGCGCCUUGCAGGAGGAGAAGCUGCAGCAGGACGCGCUGCAGACAGCGGAGGCCUGGGCCAUAUUCCAGGAGCAGACCGUAGUCCUGCAGGUGCGGCCCCACUCAGACGCCAAGGUGCCUCCCGCCUCUCCUCCCCCAGACCUGGGGCGGUGUGACGGGCAGCUUCGCGGAGUGCAGUACAGCACCGAAUCGCUCAUGGAGGAGAUGGCCAGGGCGGACCGAGAGACGCGGCUGUUCGGCGGCCCUCGCGCGCUGGCCAUCAGGCGGUGCGUGCUGGGCGCGCUGCAGGUGCUGCUGACGCUGCCGCUCCUCUUCCUGGGGCUGUCGCUGCUCUGGACGGUGCUGUUGGACCCCGGCGCCGUCUCCGCGUGGCUCUGGAGCCUCACCUCGGAGACGACGCUGCGCCGCCUGCGCUACACGCUGUCCCCGCUGCUGGAGCUGCGCGCUAACGGGCUUCUGCCAACCUAAGUGCAGCGCCCCGCGCCUGGCUCCAGGUGGACUCCAGGGCACCUGGCUUUAUUUCUGGUGCACUCCUCUCCUGAGAGUGUAGACCAAGGUUGCCUAAUAAACUCAAGGGAUGAAGCUCGUGGGUUCGUCGUCUGUCUCCCAUGUCAUGUAGGAGCUUGACUGGCUUUUCAGCCUCCAAAGAUUCCUUCCUUCCUUACAGCUCAUGGAUUUAGAGCCACUCCCCAGUAUUGUAAACAGCAUUUUUAGUUUUUCAGGAUACAUAAUUUGCCGUAUUGCCAGAAACUUGUACAUAGCAUUUGACACUUUGCCAAUCUGACAAGCUGCCUUUUCAAGUAUUGUGAUUUGAAAUUAUUUCUACUAUAUUUGAAUUUAUUUCUACCAUUUGUAACAUGUUGAUCCUGAUUUUUCAAUGCUCCCCUUUCCUUCUGUUUAUUUGGGAAGUCACACUCUGUAUUCUGGUAUUCUUACUACUUGAGCUCAGCUCAUCGCUGUCAUCUUCCCCUAAACCGCCUUAAAGCAUCUUAGGUCUUUUCCCUCUGAUCACAUGUGCUACUUUUUUUUUUCUUUUCUUUGGAGACGGAGUCUUGCUCUGCGCCCAGGAUGGAGUGCAGUGGCAUGAUCUCGGCUCACUGCAAGCUCUGCCUCCCGGGUUCCAGCGAUUCUCCUGCCUCAGCCUCCCAAGUAGCUGGGACUUCAGACGCCCGCCAUCAUGCCCGUUUAAUUUUUUGUAUUUUUUGUAGAGACAGAGUUUCACUGUGUUAGCCAGGAUGGUCUCGAUCUCCUGACCUCGUGAUCCGCCCACCUUGGCCUCCCCAAAGUGCUGGGAUUACAGGCAUGAGCCACCGUGCCUGGCCAACAUUUUCUCCAGAUAUCUUACUGAGUCCUAAUUUCCACUGUGGCCAGAGAAUACACUCUGCAUGAUUUUAAUUCUAUCUCAUUUACUGAGACUUGUUUUGUGGCCCAGCACAAAGCUUGUAAUGAACACUGAGAAGUGUAUUGUUGCUGUUGACAGAGUGAUUUUUUUUUUUGAGACGGAGUCUCGCUCUGUCGCCAGGCUGGAGUACAGUGGUGUGCAAUCUCGGCUCACUCCAACCUCCACCUACUAGGUUCAAGUGAUUGUCCUGCCUCAGCCUCCUGAGUAGCUGGGACUACAGAUGCAUUCCACCAUGCCCAGCUAAUUUUUGUAUUUUUAGCAGAGACAGGGUUUCACCGUGUUGGCCAGGAUGGUCUUGAUCUCUUGACAUUGUGAUCCGCCUGGCUUGGCCUCCCAAAGCGCUGGGAUUACAGGCAUGAGCCACCGUGCCAGGCCAACAGAGUGUGUUCUAAAUACCCAGCAGGUCCAGGUGAGUGACAGGCUUGUUCAGGGCUCCUGUGUUUACUUUCUUGUUGGUAGCGCCGUCAAUUGCUUAUUGUGAAAUGCCCCUUCAUAAACACCCAUACACAUUUUG
rnacentral:lncRNA from 1 species